AUCCCACAAAAACCCUUUUUUUUUUUUUGCAAAAAUUCCCCCUUUUUUUUGGAAGAACCCAGGCUGGGAAUGUAUAUGCAAACGCCUUAAUAGGAGCUGCAGCUCCAGUCUCUUCUCCUCCUCCUUGGUUUGGAAGGUUUUUCCCACCUGUCCAAAAGGAAUUUUGGGUGGUGUUGGAGCAACUGAGUCUGCAGCAAACAGCACCAGAGGAGGCUUUUCUCUGUGACUCUUGGAAAAAAAAAACAAACAAAACCCUCCGUUCUUCUGCUUCCUGUGCUCAGCAAGGAGCAGCCUGGAUCCUGAUGGAAGCUGGCAUUCCAGGAAAAGUUUGGGAAUGGAUUUUGGGGUGUGUGCUGUCAGCUCUGCCCCCGGGGGCACCGGGACUUGUGCAGCAACAAAAGCAGCCGGGGCUUUUCUGCUGCCCUUCUCCUUUUUUUUUCUUUUUUCUUUGCAAGGAAUUUUCUUUUUUUUUUUUUUUUUCAAGGAAUUUAUUCCAAGUUUAUGUGCAGGACAAUUCUGUGGAGCCCCUGGGAAAAGAGGUGGGGCUGGAUUUUGGAUGCUUCCCUGCCCUCCUUCCCUUCCCAUGGACAGCUGGGAUCAGCUCCUCUCACUUCUCACACAGUUCGAAUGCUGGAGUCCAAACAUUUCUUGUGCCAGAGCCUGGGAGCUCCCUGCUGGAUCAGCAGGAUGGCAGCAGGAUUUUCCCUGCACUUUUGGAGGCUUUUCCUUGGGUUUUCAGGGGGUUUUCCCUGUUUUUUGGGGGGAUUUUCCUUGGGUUUUUAGGGGAGGUUGCUGCCUGACCUGCAAUUCCAGGGCCCAGCAGGGUGAGUGAGAACAGCAACAUGCCAGCAUUUAGUGUUGCUUCUCUUUUCUCCACAAUUUUGGGGAAGCUUCCUGCUUUUCCCCACGUGGAAAAGCUCCUCUUUUGCUGUCUUUUACCCCAGGUUUUGCAGCGGGGCUGUCGAUUUAUUUGGUUUUUUUUUGGAGGGAGCACUGACCCCAAAGCAGGCUGAGGGGUUCCACGGGGUAAAUCUGCUUUCACCUCCUUGGUGUCCUGGAUUAAAAAUGCAGGAUUGUUCUCCGGAGCCAUUGUUGGAGGUGAGGUGGAAUUUGUGUAGGUGGAUUUUUACACCUCAGGUGGCCUUGUAAGAAAAGUGAGGGGUGGAAAAAACGAGAGCUGCUCCUCUCUCAGCCCCUCAGUCCUGAAGUGUUGGGCUCUGGGUCUGUGUCCUUCCAAUUUGGGGCAUCCCAUGUCAGGCAGCAACUUCUGGGUGUGAAUUGAGGAUCUUCCCCAUAAAAUAUUCCCAGAAAAAACAGAUGGAGACAUCUCUUUCCUUCAGCAUCCUGCGAGCUGCCAUGAGCAGAGGAAGAUUUUCCCCUCUCCAGCACGAGGAGCUGACAGUGUUUGCUGUAAAUACUGCACCUAUUCCACGGAUAAGUGGUGAACUCAAACUUUUCCAGAGGUUUUUUUUCUUCUUUUUUUUUUUUUUUCCUUCUGCCACUUUUCCAGGCUUUGGAAUUCCCUUGAAAGCCACAAGAAACACCCAGGACUUUUCUUUUCCUGCAGUGAUGUUCCCUUUCUAUAUCCUGCCAUUGAGAUACGGAAAAAAAAAAAACAAACCACUUUUGUGUGUUCCUGACGUGACACCUGGGACAGGUGGAGAAGCAGGGAGUGAGCUCGUGGAGUGACCUGUCUUCCUGUUGGCUCCUGUCAGAGGCAAAAAACGCUUCACAUUUAGACAUCAGCAGAUGCAGGAGGAAAUUCCUGCGCCAGCAGCUCUUCAAAUGUGCAAUAUUGACCUUUUGUUUUAAUUUAAUUUUUAUUUUUGACAUGCAGAAGCGAAGCUGCAGGUGAUCAUGAAGAGCAGGCAUCUGGAAUUUUGCUUUUUUUGGAGCCUGCUCUGGGAAAUUUUCUGGAGCUAUGUAUAAAUAGCAGCACUUUGGUUGGUUCAGGUUGGCCAAUUUUUUGCCUACCAAAUACGUGGACUUUUGACAUUUGCAGGCUGGGAUUCGAAUUGAAAAUUCAUGAAUGAUGAGCACUAAAAAACUUGCAAUUUAAUUGCUUCCCUUUCCCCCUUGUUCCCCUGUGGAGAAAAGCCAAGUUCAGCUGUUGAAAAAUUUGUGCACUUAAUUCUUUGUGAGCUUUUAUGGCUUUGGGCAGAGGGUCAAGCCCCCCAAAAAAAAAAAUAUAUUAUUUGUGGGCUCCUGCUCCUCUCCAAGAAGCUUCCCAAAAUUGCUGUGCCACAGAGAAUCCAGGUUUUCCUGUGGGAAUGCUGAGUUUUUGUGGAAUGAGAUAAUUGAAUUCCCUGGAUGGGAAAG